AACGUAGGACGCAAGCGUUAUCCGGAGUACUGGGCGUAAAGCGCGGGCAGGCGGUUCUGCCAGUCUGAUGUGAAAUCUCCUCGCUCAACGGGGAGCAGCCAUUGGAAACUACAGAACUGGAGUCUGGCAGAGGUAGGCGGAAUUCCGGGGUGGAGUGGUGAAAUGCGUAGAGAUCCGGAGGAACACCAGAGGCGAAGGCGGCCUACUGGGCCAGUACGUG
rnacentral:rRNA from 1 species